rnacentral:lncRNA from 1 species
AAUUAUUUUUGCUGUUGUGCUGAGAGCAGCUGACCAUGUUGCAGUGAAUGCUGAUGUACAGUAUAGAGCAGUGUGGCACAAGACCACUGCCACUUUUCCAGUUCCUGUCUGUGUGCUGCUGAGUGUUUUGUGAUUGUAGCUCCAUAUAGCUUUGCUUUUCUGUUGAAUCGUUAUCUUACUAUCACUCUCUGUUGUCUAAAGUGAUAAAAUAUAAACCUAAUUCCCACUAUAUAUUCAAUAUUAUCUAUCAAACUAAUCUGACUAAUCUGACCGUCCACUAACGGCAUUUAUAACCAUUUUCUUUUUUCUCUUGCCCCAUUUCUUUUCUCUCUCGUGCUAUUGAUGACAUGAGGAAGUGUGAGGACUUCAUCGAAACCAUGAGGGUCCUUUACAACUCUACACUCUGUGUGUCAUCCGACAAGAGUGCCACUGCAGGGCAGAUCAUCCCCAUCCUGGACAAACUCAAGAAGAAGGUGGAGGAAGAGGAUUCUGCCUUCAAGAGAGCUAUCAAGGAGAAGAUCUGGACAGAUCUUUCCCCACGGAACACGGAUGAAAGAAAUUAUGACAUUCAACAGGUUCUUGAGGAGGCUACAGCCCUGGAUAUUCGAUUCAAAAUCAAGGUUCAGGAUGAGGCGGUUUGGGCCCGUGUAGAGAAAAAAACUGUGAAAACAUUGUUCAUGGUUUGUUCAUGUGUUCCUUUGGCUUAGUGGUAGAGCAUUGUGUUAGCAGUGCAAAAGGUUGUGGGUUUGAUUCCCACGGAACACAUGUUAGGUAAAAAAAAUGUUAGCCUGAAUGCACUGUACAGUAAGUCGCUUUGGAUAAAAAUGUCUGCCAAAUGCACAAAAUGUAAAAAAAAAUUACAUUUUAAAGUAGACUUAUGUGUUCUAUUCUAUACAUAUUGUUUUUAUUUACUAUUGUGUAUGCUUUAUUAAAGGGUGGAGAAGUGACCCAGGAGGAAAAAGGAGAAGAGCUGCUGCGGCAGGAGGAGGAGCAGGAGGAGGAGGAGCAUUGGUUUACAGAAAACAGAAAAACCAGCAGUAGCAGCAGCACAUGUAAGAUAUGGACAUUAUUACUGACAUACUUGUAUUGAUCACAUAAUGCUUGACGAAGUGUCAUAAGGCCUUUUUAUAUUUGAAGACAGCUCUUUAAAGAUGAAGACCAGGCUCUGCUGGAAAGGUUGAAGAUGGGCACUCUAGAAAAGGCCAAGAAGAGGUACAAGUGUACAGGAGCUUCCGGCAGUCCUAAGCUCAGUGUAUCCUAUCCUGUGGUGGUGGCAGAAGAGGGACCAAAUGUCAAUGCUGACCAGCUUGGCAAAAAUGUAUCUCUGUAUCCAGGUCUCUUCUACACCCUCAGAGUGGGUGUUCUCAACAGCAGGGGACACAGUGAGUGUGCAGCAGGCGCGGCUCUUACCUGAGAGAGUCGGCAUGUUGACUUUUCUCAAAAAGAUUGCUAGAUUAGUUUGCUUUGAUUUCAGUAAAAAAAAAUGGUUUAUUGAACUUAAUGUUUAUGUUUUUAUUGUUUAUAUAUAUAUAUAUUUUUUUUUGUGACAGCCAUCAGGUUGUAGAGACAGUUUGUCUAGUGUGUAAUAUUUAUAACUGAAUAAAUAAAACAUUUAGUGGCAUGUUGACUUUUCUCAAAAGAAUUAGCUAGAUUAGUUUGCUUUGAUUUCAGUAAAAAAAAUAGGUUUAUUGAACUUAAUGUUUAUGUUUUUAUUGUUUAUAUAUAUAUAUAUUUUUUUUUUGUUGACAGCCAUCAGGUUGUAGAGACAGUUUGUCUAGUGUGUAAUAUUUAUAACUGAAUAAAUAAAACAUUUGAAAUUAAGAGGUUUGGACUUUUUUUUUUCUAUUGAAAUAAAUGUUUUUGUUAUUACACAGAGAGUAAAGUAUCGAAAAAAGGUACUGUACCAUACCCUAAUAGAGUGACAUGUUCCUGCACUGUAAAAAAAAAUUAGGUUUAUUAGUAACUUAAUGUUUAUGUUUUAUUGUUUAUAUAUAUAUAUAUUUUUUUUUGUGACAGCCAUCAGGUUGUAGAGACAGUUUGUCUAGUGUGUAAUAUUUAUAACUGAAUAAAUAAAACAUUUGAAAUUAAG